AGCGAGGCCUGGGAGCCUGCGCCCCUCUCUAAUAAAGAGCUACCCACAACGCAGCUGUACGAGGGGACGCAGCCGGCGACGUGAGGGAGCUGGUGCUGCCUGGGCUGGGCAGGAUGGCAGCAGGGUGGUCAGGCUGUGGAGCAGCUCUUCCUUCUGCUCCCUUUAGACCAACCUGAAAAACAUCCCCAGAUGAAAAACACUACUCCGUCCUAGUCAGCAGCUGUCCUGCUUGAAGAUGAAUUUCCAGCUCAAAAAUCAAACCAAAAUGAUGAUGACAGAAAAACACCAAUUGGCCUUAAGCAACUAUCCACUUGUAUCCAGAAAUCUGGACCCGUGGUUGAUAAACGGAAGCGUGGCUGUGCAAUGCCUUACCUGCAGCCAUUAGGGACAGAAAUCUGGCUUGGCUCUCCCCAGCUGCCCAGAGCCUUCGGGGCAAUGCCAAGAAAAUGACCUGCUCCUGUCACAGCCCCUGGCACUCGGGCACACAUUUUUAUCUCCAGUAUAAAGUGCAGCAAAAGACUGUUCUGAAUUUCUUCAUGUAGUGAAUGAGCUGCUGAAAUAAUACUGGCUGGCAAGCCAUUAUGUAUUUUUUAUUACUAAGAUAGUAAAAUAUUGAAAUGACUUCUGACAGAAAGAGAAGAGCAAAGGAAAACACCCAGGAGAAAUUAUUUUAUCUCAGAGGUUUUAAUUGAAUGGUGUAAAACAUUUUUAUGGUAAAAGAAAGAUGAUUUAUUUUGCUGUUAUGAUCAUCUAUGCUAUAAAAGAGUGUCUCCUUUGAAAAGCUUACACACUCCUGUGUUUACCUGCUGUCAUGUAUUUGGGGGUUUCUGCUGCAUAGAUGAUUCUCAAGGAUAGGGUUUUUUUCCCUCUCCACCUUUUUUUUUUUGUUCCUUACCACUGCCUAAAAUCUUGUUUGUUUAUGUGAUUGACUCUGCAAGGGUUUUGCAAUCCUCUGAGAGAGCAGGGGAAGGUGGCCAUGAGCCCGGCACGCUCAUUAGCAAACCUGAGCCUGACCUUUUCCAGGGGCUGAGCCGGAGCCCCGUGCACAGCGUGGGACCAUGCUGCUGUCCCCAGGAGCCAGUCCCCUCCUUUUCUCCAUGGCAGAGAUGAGACCCCUAAGAAAGACAUUCACUCAGGGCUGGUUUUUGUAACGUUCAGCAAAUUUCCUAGUGAAUGGGAUUUGACAUCUGGUAACAGUUCGUUACACGAUUUGAUGGUUUCCUGGAGAAUCCUAGAGAUGCUGUCAUUUAGCAAAUGAUUCUUGCAAAAGAGCCAGUUAGCCCUGUUUUUAUUCCCUCUGAAUGGCUGGAAAGCAGAUUUCAUUUUUAAUUUCAGACUGGUUGGUCCUUCAUUCCAGCCUCUCGUGCACACUGUGCCCAGGGAGGGACCUUGGUGCCACGCGAAGGCUAUGACACUGAGCUCAGGGGAGCAGCUGGAGCAAGAAGGUCCCGUUUGCUGCUGAUGUGUGUUGGAGGGUCUAGGGUGGGAGCUGCACUGGGUCAUGGGAAGCGGAGAGAUUUGCUGAAAGAAGGCAAAAAGCAGCAGUACCCUGAGAAACGUGGAGGUCUGUAUUUUAUCUCUGGUUGUCAGAGGAGAGUUUCCCUCCUCAGCGCUCAGUGAGGGUGUGGGGUGUCAUGGCACAGGUCUGUGAGGAUUACCCAAAAGUAAACACAGUCCAAGAGAAAUUCAAAAGUCAGCAAAUGCUGCUGAUGUGCCCUAUGUCAAGGGGAUUCAACCACCAAGAUGGAUCAAGGUGGACACAUGCGCAAAGCCCCUCAUUUUGAGGGGCUGGAUGGGAGUAUGUUGGGAUUGAUGAUGUUGAUGGCAGGUCCCAUCUCCUCUCCCCGUCUGGUGAGCAGCAAUUUGGAGCUGCAACUUUUCCAUGCUGGCUCAGAACUGAUGGGGAGAAAAGGGGCAGGCAGGCAGCACUCAGUCCCACCUGGCUGCUGCUAGGGACCCAUGGGUGGGCCAGUGGGUGCCCUUUGCCCAGCAUCCAUCCCUGGGAGCCGUGCUGAGCUGCCUCUGUUCUGGGGCUCUGGCAGCACUCACUUCGCUGACACUUUUAAAGGGGGCAGCUGUUCUCCUCUUGCUGAAGCAGCCUCCUAUUGCUAAGGCAAGAUGAUUGCAUUUCAUACCUUCCCAGCUCUAAUUUGCACUUCUUUGGGGAAGAUGGUAGGACAAGUUAUAUCAGAGCAGCUGCUGUCUCACUAGGUUUUAAAGGAAAAUGAAACAAAACACUCUGUAUUUCUUUUAAGUUGUUUUAGUGCUUACAAAGUGUGCCUGGCUGACCUCUCGGAAGGCUGAACAUCUGUGCCAGCAGAAAUGGGGAUGUUCUAAACCACUGAGAGGCAGGUUUUUGGGGUCCUCCUUCCUGCUGUUCUGCUAUAUGCCCCCAAAUAGGGGACUGCAAUAGCACUGCAUGUUCACUUAGUGCCUACCUGGUACCCCAAAGUACCUGGUGCUGCCUCCUGAAACAGCACAGCUCCUCCCAGGUGCGAGCCAGUGGAUUGAAGCAUUUUUUUUUCUUAAUUACUUUUUCUGAACAGGCUCCCUGUAGAGGUGACUGUCCCUCCCUGAGGGGACAGCCUGGUCCCCAUGACCAGGUCAGGGCUGGCCCAUCUGCUUGUAUGUCAUCAGCUGAAAAGCUGCUUCAAUCUUAUCAUCUUGCCUGAAGUGCAAAUACGGCUGCCACGGCUGCUUUUCUUAGCAGCCUGGUAAGGGCGAGUACCUCCAGGGCUGAAGAAAAAAGAAUCCAGUGGUGAGAUUAUACAGAGAAAUGUGGGCUGACUUUUAAAGAAUAUGUACGCUACAGAGCAAGUGAAACCAUAGGCAUUGUUUUGAGUAAUUUCUGAAGAUUUUUUUAAAAACUAUUUUUUUAUUUUCCAGUCUGCUAGAGCAGACUGCUGACACACUGGAAGGAAACCGUGGGGUGCAUAUGUGAUAAGGAUUCCCUCGCUGUAUUUCUAUUGUUUUUUGUAUUAAACACUGACAUUAA